UUUGAUCAUGGCUCAGAUUGAACGCUGGCGGCAGGCCUAACACAUGCAAGUCGAGCGGUAGCACAGAGAGCUUGCUCUCGGGUGACGAGCGGCGGACGGGUGAGUAAUGUCUGGGAAACUGCCUGAUGGAGGGGGAUAACUACUGGAAACGGUAGCUAAUACCGCAUAACGUCGCAAGACCAAAGUGGGGGACCUUCGGGCCUCAUGCCAUCAGAUGUGCCCAGAUGGGAUUAGCUAGUAGGUGGGGUAACGGCUCACCUAGGCGACGAUCCCUAGCUGGUCUGAGAGGAUGACCAGCCACACUGGAACUGAGACACGGUCCAGACUCCUACGGGAGGCAGCAGUGGGGAAUAUUGCACAAUGGGCGCAAGCCUGAUGCAGCCAUGCCGCGUGUGUGAAGAAGGCCUUCGGGUUGUAAAGCACUUUCAGCGGGGAGGAAGGCGUUAAGGUUAAUAACCUUGUCGAUUGACGUUACCCGCAGAAGAAGCACCGGCUAACUCCGUGCCAGCAGCCGCGGUAAUACGGAGGGUGCAAGCGUUAAUCGGAAUUACUGGGCGUAAAGCGCACGCAGGCGGUCUGUCAAGUCGGAUGUGAAAUCCCCGGGCUCAACCUGGGAACUGCAUUCGAAACUGGCAGGCUAGAGUCUUGUAGAGGGGGGUAGAAUUCCAGGUGUAGCGGUGAAAUGCGUAGAGAUCUGGAGGAAUACCGGUGGCGAAGGCGGCCCCCUGGACAAAGACUGACGCUCAGGUGCGAAAGCGUGGGGAGCAAACAGGAUUAGAUACCCUGGUAGUCCACGCCGUAAACGAUGUCGAUUUGGAGGUUGUGCCCUUGAGGCGUGGCUUCCGGAGCUAACGCGUUAAAUCGACCGCCUGGGGAGUACGGCCGCAAGGUUAAAACUCAAAUGAAUUGACGGGGGCCCGCACAAGCGGUGGAGCAUGUGGUUUAAUUCGAUGCAACGCGAAGAACCUUACCUGGUCUUGACAUCCACAGAACUUUCCAGAGAUGGAUUGGUGCCUUCGGGAACUGUGAGACAGGUGCUGCAUGGCUGUCGUCAGCUCGUGUUGUGAAAUGUUGGGUUAAGUCCCGCAACGAGCGCAACCCUUAUCCUUUGUUGCCAGCGGUCCGGCCGGGAACUCAAAGGAGACUGCCAGUGAUAAACUGGAGGAAGGUGGGGAUGACGUCAAGUCAUCAUGGCCCUUACGACCAGGGCUACACACGUGCUACAAUGGCAUAUACAAAGAGAAGCGACCUCGCGAGAGCAAGCGGACCUCAUAAAGUAUGUCGUAGUCCGGAUUGGAGUCUGCAACUCGACUCCAUGAAGUCGGAAUCGCUAGUAAUCGUAGAUCAGAAUGCUACGGUGAAUACGUUCCCGGGCCUUGUACACACCGCCCGUCACACCAUGGGAGUGGGUUGCAAAAGAAGUAGGUAGCUUAACCUUCGGGAGGGCGCUUACCACUUUGUGAUUCAUGACUGGGGUGAAGUCGUA
rnacentral:rRNA from 1 species